UUGAAUCUGUAUAGAUCGGUGUAAUAGUUUGGAAGCUCUUACGUCGGGACUUGUCCACGCAUUACGUAACGGAAUAGGACGAAGGUUAAAUGUACAUAUUGUCGUCUUUGACAGGAAGCAACAACACGACAGUGACUUUUUGAAAGAAACAAAAUGCCAGAACACAUAACUGGAUUUGGACCUUUAAUAGGUGCUAUUGACGAAGGGACGAGUAGUGCUAGAUUUUUGGUGUUUGAUGUAUUGCAUAGAAAAGUAGUUGCUUCACAUCAGAUCGAAAUCAAGCAGAAAUAUCCUCAAGAAGGAUGGGUUGAGCAGGAUCCAAAAGAGAUAUUACAAGCUGUCAUUGAAUGUAUCAAAGAAACCAUAAACAAGAUGAAGGACAUGGGCCUAUCUGUUUCUGAUAUCAAAACUGUUGGCAUUACUAAUCAGAGAGAAACAACUUUGAUAUGGGAUAAGCAGACUGGAGAACCUUUGCAUAAUGCAAUUGUAUGGCUUGAUAUGAGAACAACUACGACCCUAGAUGAUGUAUUGGAUAGUGUUCCUAACAAAACGAGAAAUAAGAAUUACUUAAAGCCUUUAUGUGGUUUACCAAUGUCUCCUUAUUUUAGUGCUCUUAAGAUACGCUGGUUGAUAGAUAAUGUGCCACGUGUUAAGCAAGCAGUAGAUGCAAGCAGGUGUGCUUUUGGAACAGUUGAUACUUGGCUAAUUUGGAAUCUCACCGAGGGUCAAUUACACAUUACGGAUGUAUCGAAUGCAUCCCGCACGAUGCUGAUGAAUAUCGAAACAUUAAAGUGGGAUUCUCUGUUAUGCCGCUUUUUUGGCAUCCCACAACAUAUUCUUCCUGAAAUACGAUCCAGUGCAGAGAUCUACGGUCAUAUUUCAAACCCUGAAGUUCUUGCGGGCAUACCCAUAGCAGGUUGUGUAGGCGAUCAACAAGGAGCUCUUCUUGGUCAAUUAUGUUUGAAACCUGGUCAAGCGAAGGCUACAUAUGGCACGGGAUGCUUUUUGCUUUACAAUACAGGAAAUGUAAAAGUCGAUUCGACGCAAGGUUUGUUAACCACCGUUGCUUACAAGAUUGCACGAUUCCCGCCUGUUUACGCAUUAGAAGGUUCUGUCGCUGUUGCCGGCGCUGCUUUAUCUUGGCUGCGAGAUAAUAUACAAAUUCUUACUAAUAUCACGCAGUCGCAGGAUAUGGCAGAACGUGUGAGAUGUUCCGGCGAUGUGUAUUUCGUACCGGCUUUUUCAGGGCUGUACGCGCCUUAUUGGCAACAAGAUGCACGCGGAGUAAUUUGCGGGAUUACCGAGGAUACUCAGCAAUAUCAUAUUAUACGAGCGGCGUUAGAAGCAGUUUGCUUUCAAACAAGGGACAUAUUGGAAGCGAUGGUGAAAGAUUCUGGAACAAAGCUGACGACGUUGCAAGUUGACGGUGGCAUGACUGUAAACAAUUUAUUAAUGCAGUUGCAGGCGGACUUGACGGGAAUAACGGUUGAUAAACUUAUGUCGAACAGUGAGGCCAAACAUGGUUGAGACGACGGCACUAGGUGCUGCUAUUUUAGCUGGUAUUGGUGCAGGUUUGAUCGACAUAAAUGAUGUGGAUGGGUCUCAAGUAACUAAGUUUUCACCUGCAAUUAGCGAAGAUGAGAGAGAUCUUAGAUAUUCUAAGUGGAAAAUGGCUGUUGAAAGAUCUAUGAAGUGGGAUUGUUCAACGACUUUAAUGAAUAAUUAAAGUUGUAUACAUAUAUAUAUUUUUAUACUGGAUAAGUAAUAAAUAUUUGGAUGCACACAUAAUUUAUAAGAAAGUAUU